rnacentral:sRNA from 1 species
UACAGACCAGAGCAUUCCAGUCUGCCUUCCUUCCGUCAUCCAUUGAGGAGGGGUCCACAGCCUGCGGCUGGCAGUUCUGCACGUGUCCCCCCUGGCCUGGGCUCUACAGGGUCUGCCCUACUGCUUGGUGCCGCGGGAUCGUGACGACCUCUGCUUCUCCCUCCUCAUUCAGGACGUGGAGUCGGACUCUGCCAAGCAGUUUUUGCAGGCAGCAGAGGCCAUCGAUGACAUACCAUUUGGGAUCACUUCCAACAGUGACGUGUUCUCCAAAUACCAGCUCGACAAAGAUGGGGUUGUCCUCUUUAAGAAGUUUGAUGAAGGCCGGAACAACUUUGAAGGGGAGGUCACCAAGGAGAACCUGCUGGACUUUAUCAAACACAACCAGCUGCCCCUUGUCAUCGAGUUCACCGAGCAGACAGCCCCGAAGAUUUUUGGAGGUGAAAUCAAGACUCAUAUCCUGCUGUUCUUGCCCAAGAGUGUGUCUGACUAUGACAGCAAACUGAGCAACUUCAAAACAGCAGCCGAGAGCUUCAAGGGCAAGAUCCUGUUCAUCUUCAUCGACAGCGACCACACCGACAACCAGCGCAUCCUUGAGUUCUUUGGCCUGAAGAAGGAAGAGUGCCCGGCCGUGCGCCUCAUCACCCUGGAGGAGGAGAUGACCAAGUACAAGCCCGAAUCGGAGGAGCUGACGGCAGAGAGGAUCACAGAGUUCUGCCACCGCUUCCUGGAGGGCAAAAUCAAGGUGCGGGCGCGUCCCGGGCCAGGGCUGCUUCCCGGGUAGAGCCGCCACCUUGGGGUCUCUGGGCUCUC